UACGUAGGGUGCGAGCGUUGUCCGGAAUUAUUGGGCGUAAAGGGCUCGUAGGCGGUUUGUCGCGUCGGGAGUGAAAACACCGGGCUUAACUCGGUGCUUGCUUUCGAUACGGGCAGACUAGAGGUAUGCAGGGGAGAACGGAAUUCCAGGUGUAGCGGUGAAAUGCGUAGAUAUCUGGAGGAACACCGGUGGCGAAGGCGGCAUCCUGGACCGAGAUUGACGCUGAGGCGCGAAAGCCAGGGGAGCAAACGGG
rnacentral:rRNA from 1 species